rnacentral:rRNA from 1 species
AGGCCUAACACAUGCAAGUCGAACGGCAGCACAGGAGAGCUUGCUCUUUGGGUGGCGAGUGGCGGACGGGUGAGGAAUACAUCGGAAUCUACUUUUUCGUGGGGGAUAACGUAGGGAAACUUACGCUAAUACCGCAUACGACCUACGGGUGAAAGCAGGGGACCUUCGGGCCUUGCGCGAUUGAAUGAGCCGAUGUCGGAUUAGCUAGUUGGCGGGGUAAAGGCCCACCAAGGCGACGAUCCGUAGCUGGUCUGAGAGGAUGAUCAGCCACACUGGAACUGAGACACGGUCCAGACUCCUACGGGAGGCAGCAGUGGGGAAUAUUGGACAAUGGGCGCAAGCCUGAUCCAGCCAUACCGCGUGGGUGAAGAAGGCCUUCGGGUUGUAAAGCCCUUUUGUUGGGAAAGAAAUCCAGCUGGCUAAUACCCGGUUGGGAUGACGGUACCCAAAGAAUAAGCACCGGCUAACUUCGUGCCAGCAGCCGCGGUAAUACGAAGGGUGCAAGCGUUACUCGGAAUUACUGGGCGUAAAGCGUGCGUAGGUGGUCGUUUAAGUCCGUUGUGAAAGCCCUGGGCUCAACCUGGGAACUGCAGUGGAUACUGGGCGACUAGAGUGUGGUAGAGGGUAGCGGAAUUCCUGGUGUAGCAGUGAAAUGCGUAGAGAUCAGGAGGAACAUCCAUGG